CCCUUAGAUGUUCUGGGCCGCACGCGCGCUACAAUGGCAGACUCAGCGAGUUACCUCUGUCGAAAGGCACAGGGAAUCUUUACAGUAUCUGCCGUGAUGGGGAUAGACCCUUGUAAUUUUUGGUCUUCAACGAGGAAUUCCUAGUAAACGCAAGUCAUUAACUUGCAUUGAUUACGUCCCUGCCCUUUGUACACACCGCCCGUCGCACCUACCGAUUGAAUGGUCCGGUGAAGUCCUCGGACCCAGUUGAACCUCGAGUUGAACAGGGAAAGUUGACUAAAUCUUACCAUUUAGAGGAAGGCGAAGUCGUAACA
rnacentral:rRNA from 1 species